AUUGAACGCUGGCGGCAGGCCUAACACAUGCAAGUCGAACGAGUGGCGGACGGGUGAGUAAUGUCUGGGAAAGUGCCUGAUGGAGGGGGAUAACUACUGGAAACGGUAGCUAAUACCGCAUAACAUCAGAUGUGCCGAGAUGGGAUUAGCUAGUUGGGGGGGUAACGGCUCACCAAGGCGACGAUCCCUAGCUGGUCUGAGAGGGUGAACGGCCACACUGGAACUGAGACACGGCCCAGACUCCUACGGGAGGCAGCAGUGGGGAAUAUUGCACAAUGGGCGCAAGCCUGAUGCAGCCAUGCCGCGUGUAUGAAGAAGGCCUUCGGGUUGUAAAGUACUGUCAGCAGGGAGGCGUUACCCGCAGAAGAAGCACCGGCUAACUCCGUGCCAGCAGCCGCGGUAAUAC
rnacentral:rRNA from 1 species